rnacentral:rRNA from 1 species
CGUAUCACCCAAGACAACUUUACGGAGUUGACGAUUGACGGAGCGAAGCGACGUCAAAGCGUUCAUUAAAGUCGAGUUGGCUUAGGGAUACGUUCGUUGGGUAGGGGAGCGUUCUGUAAGCCUGUGAAGGUGGCCUGUGAGGGUUGCUGGAGGUAUCAGAAGUGCGAAUGCUGACAUAAGUAACGAUAAAGCGGGUGAAAAGCCCGCUCGCCGGAAGACCAAGGGUUCCUGUCCAACGUUAAUCGGGGCAGGGUGAGUCGACCCCUAAGGCGAGGCCGAAAGGCGUAGUCGAUGGGAAACGGGUUAAUAUUCCCGUACUUGGUGUUACUGCGAAGGGGGGACGGAGAAGGCUAUGUUGGCCGGGCGACGGUUGUCCCGGUUUAAGCGUGUAGGUGUGUGUUCCAGGUAAAUCCGGUUCACUUUAACACUGAGGCGUGACGACGAGGCACUACGGUGCUGAAGCAACAAAUGCCCUGCUUCCAGGAAAAGCCUCUAAGCAUCAGGUAACAUCAAAUCGUACCCCAAACCGACACAGGUGGUCAGGUAGAGAAUACCAAGGCGCUUGAGAGAACUCGGGUGAAGGAACUAGGCAAAAUGGUGCCGUAACUUCGGGAGAAGGCACGCUGACACGUAGGUGAAGUGAUUUACUCAUGGAGCUGAAGUCAGUCGAAGAUACCAGCUGGCUGCAACUGUUUAUUAAAAACACAGCACUGUGCAAACACGAAAGUGGACGUAUACGGUGUGACGCCUGCCCGGUGCCGGAAGGUUAAUUGAUGGGGUCAGCGCAAGCGAAGCUCCUGAUCGAAGCCCCGGUAAACGGCGGCCGUAACUAUAACGGUCCUAAGGUAGCGAAAUUCCUUGUCGGGUAAGUUCCGACCUGCACGAAUGGCGUAAUGAUGGCCAGGCUGUCUCCACCCGAGACUCAGUGAAAUUGAACUCGCUGUGAAGAUGCAGUGUACCCGCGGCAAGACGGAAAGACCCCGUGAACCUUUACUAUAGCUUGACACUGAACAUUGAGCCUUGAUGUGUAGGAUAGGUGGGAGGCUUUGAAGUGUGGACGCCAGUCUGCAUGGAGCCGACCUUGAAAUACCACCCUUUAAUGUUUGAUGUUCUAACGUGGACCCGUGAUCCGGGUUGCGGACAGUGUCUGGUGGGUAGUUUGACUGGGGCGGUCUCCUCCUAAAGAGUAACGGAGGAGCACGAAGGUUGGCUAAUCCUGGUCGGACAUCAGGAGGUUAGUGCAAUGGCAUAAGCCAGCUUGACUGCGAGCGUGACGGCGCGAGCAGGUGCGAAAGCAGGUCAUAGUGAUCCGGUGGUUCUGAAUGGAAGGGCCAUCGCUCAACGGAUAAAAGGUACUCCGGGGAUAACAGGCUGAUACCGCCCAAGAGUUCAUAUCGACGGCGGUGUUUGGCACCUCGAUGUCGGCUCAUCACAUCCUGGGGCUGAAGUAGGUCCCAAGGGUAUGGCUGUUCGCCAUUUAAAGUGGUACGCGAGCUGGGUUUAGAACGUCGUGAGACAGUUCGGUCCCUAUCUGCCGUGGGCGCUGGAGAACUGAGGGGGGCUGCUCCUAGUACGAGAGGACCGGAGUGGACGCAUCACUGGUGUUCGGGUUGUCAUGCCAAUGGCACUGCCCGGUAGCUAAAUGCGGAAGAGAUAAGUGCUGAAAGCAUCUAAGCACGAAACUUGCCCCGAGAUGAGUUCUCCCUGAGACUUUAGGUCUCCUGAAGGAACGUUGAAGACGACGACGUUGAUAGGCCGGGUGUGUAAGCGCAGCGAUGCGUUGAGCUAA